rnacentral:rRNA from 1 species
AAUUUACUUUAUUAUAAUAAGUUUUUUAUUUUUAAAUUGCUUAGGUUUAAUAAUGAAAAUUCUGUGGGGAUGAGCUGGCGGAAUUGACUUAAAUUGAAUAUAUUUUUAAUGACAAAUAGGAUUGAAAUUUUCUUUUUUAUAUUAUAUUAUAAUUAAUCAUUAUUAAAUUAAUAUUUUUUUUGUAUUAAGUUUUUUAUAAAAACAUAUUUAUUAAUUUUUUAUUUUUAGAGAUAAUUAUGUAAUUAGUAAAGUUAAUUUUAAAUUUAUUAUGUUUCUUAAGGUAAUUUUAAGGAAUUCGGCAAAUAACUCUUCGCCUGUUUAAUAAAAACAUGGUCUUUUGAAUUUGAUUUAAGAUCUAACCUGCCCAAUGAGAAUUUGAAUGGCCGCGGUAAUUUGACCGUGCGAAGGUAGCAUAAUCAAUAGUUUUUUAAAUGGAAGCUGGAAUGAAUGGUUGGACGAGGGAGUUUCUGUCUCGAUUUUAAUUUUUUUUGAAUUUUAUUUUUGAGUCAAAAAGCUUAAAUGAUUUUAAAAGACGAGAAGACCCUAUAGAGUUUUAUUUAAUAGUUUUAUUUGGUUGAUAGAAUCUUUUUAUAAAAUAUUUAAAUUUUGUUGGGGUGACAUUAAGAUUAAAUAAACUCUUGAAUUUUUAAUUCAAUAAUAUUUGUUUAUUUUUGAUCCAUAUUUUUUGAUUAAUAGAUUAAAUUACCUUAGGGAUAACAGCGUUAUUUUUCUUGAGAGUUCUUAUCGAAAGAAAAGAUUGCGACCUCGAUGUUGGAUAAAAUAUAC